rnacentral:lncRNA from 1 species
GGCUGGUGCAAAGCCCUGUGGAAAAUGGGCGAGACCAUGGAAGGGGAGAAAUCCACCAGACUCCACUCCAGUCCCUAUUUUUUUCCCCUUAGAGCCCAAGGGGUGAUGAACUGGCACAAACACCGUCGCUCACCAGCCGGGAUCUGACGUCCUUCCCAUCAGCCAAGUCGUACCCCCAGCGGCUCCUGAAGCAGGUCUGGCCAGGAAACCUUCAAGUAGCAGCACUUUCCCUUUUAAGCAGAGCUGAUACCAAAGAGCGGUGGGGACGCAAUCGAGGCGCCGAGGGACACUGGGACCGCCGCGUUUUGGUGGAUGGUGGAGGAGGAAAUCUGCUCACACCAAGACCUCUGACUCCCUGCCUGCGCAUACGCACCAUAUGCUCCAUCUUUACUUCAUGUAAAUCAAUGCUAAUCCACCGAUGCCAAUGAAGCCGGGCUAUUUUAGCCAUCGAGAACCCGGCCUUCUGUGUCGUACGCGCUCAGCUGUGACUUCGUGGUUUAAAAAAAUAUUAAGCAACUCUCAGUGGGGAGCAAGGGGCCACAUACACAUUUAAUUCAAGUGAAAUAAAAU